rnacentral:lncRNA from 1 species
UAACUGUUGGAGGGGCUUCUGGAAAAAUACAAUAUUGCUCUUAAAAAGAAAUACAUGAAAGAACAUUUCUGCUUCUGCAUGUACAGUCAGUCAAUAUGACAUCUCAUAUUUUCUAAGAUUUAAAAGAAAGAUGGGGCAAAUGUGUAUGGGGAAUAGUGUCAUGAGAUGGAGUGGAAGAGCGGGUAGGUUACAGGUCAAGUAGGACCUGGUAGGUCAUGGUGAGAAGUUGAAAACUUAUUUUAAAUGCUAUGGGAAACUAUACAAAAUUUCCAAGAGAGUUAGUAACACAAGCUUGUUUUUCAAAAAUCACGCUGGCUGUUUUUGUAGUGCAUGGAUUGAAAGAGAUGGGCAAAUUCAAGUACAUGGCUGCUAAAUAUGUUCUCCAUGAUUUUCUUCAUGAAAAUAUUCAAGGGUCCCCAGGGAGCACAGUAGAAGGAUGAAACUGAGAGGAAGAAUCUAUUCCUACAUCUACUGUACUAAUUCAUGAACAUUCUCUGGUGUCAAAAGAUUGACAAGAUGGAGCGAUACUCAAGAGCCCAAAUUCACAGGGUAAGACCAGCAGUGAUGUCACCACCACCAACUUCCACUCCACGGAACUUCUUUUCCCUCAGCUUCCCUACUUUUACUAAUAGCAUUACC